GUAGUGACAAUAAAUAUCAAUACCUA
rnacentral:misc_RNA from 1 species